UACGAAGGGGGGCUAGCGUUGCUCGGAAUCACUGGGCGUAAAGGGCGCGUAGGCGGCCCGGUAAGUCCGCUGUAAAAGUCAAAGGCUCAACCUUUGAAUGUCAGUGGAUACUGCCGGGCUAGAGUCCGGAAGAGGCGAGUGGAACUCCUGGUGUAGCGGUGGAAUGCGCAGAUAUCAGGAAGAACACCAAUGGCGAAAGCAGCUUUCUGGGACGGUACUGACGCUGAGACGCGAAAGCGUGGGGAGCGAACAGG
rnacentral:rRNA from 1 species